CAGGCCUAACACAUGCAAGUCGAGCGGGGAAAGGUAGCUUGCUACCUGACCUAGCGGCGGACGGGUGAGUAAUGCUUAGGAAUCUGCCUAUUAGUGGGGGACAACAUUCCGAAAGGAAUGCUAAUACCGCAUACGCCCUACGGGGGAAAGCAGGGGAUCUUCGGACCUUGCGCUAAUAGAUGAGCCUAAGUCAGAUUAGCUAGUUGGUGGGGUAAAGGCCUACCAAGGCGACGAUCUGUAGCGGGUCUGAGAGGAUGAUCCGCCACACUGGGACUGAGACACGGCCCAGACUCCUACGGGAGGCAGCAGUGGGGAAUAUUGGACAAUGGGCGAAAGCCUGAUCCAGCCAUGCCGCGUGUGUGAAGAAGGCCUUUUGGUUGUAAAGCACUUUAAGCGAGGAGGAGGCUACUUGGAUUAAUACUCUAGGAUAGUGGACGUUACUCGCAGAAUAAGCACCGGCUAACUCUGUGCCAGCAGCCGCGGUAAUACAGAGGGUGCGAGCGUUAAUCGGAUUUACUGGGCGUAAAGCGUGCGUAGGCGGCUUCUUAAGUCGGAUGUGAGAUCCCUGAGCUUAACUUAGGAAUUGCAUUCGAUACUGGGAAGCUAGAGUAUGGGAGAGGAUGGUAGAAUUCCAGGUGUAGCGGUGAAAUGCGUAGAGAUCUGGAGGAAUACCGAUGGCGAAGGCAGCCAUCUGGCCUAAUACUGACGCUGAGGUACGAAAGCAUGGGGAGCAAACAGGAUUAGAUACCCUGGUAGUCCAUGCCGUAAACGAUGUCUACUAGCCGUUGGGGCCUUUGAGGCUUUAGUGGCGCAGCUAACGCGAUAAGUAGACCGCCUGGGGAGUACGGUCGCAAGAC
rnacentral:rRNA from 1 species